rnacentral:rRNA from 1 species
CCCUUAGAUGUCCUGGGCCGCACGCGCGUUACACUGAUGCAUUCAACGAGCUUAUAACCUUGGCCGAGAGGCCUGGGCAAUCUUGUUAACGUGCAUCGUGAUAGGGAUAGAUUAUUGAAAUUAUUAAUCUUGAACGAGGAAUUCCUAGUAAACGCAGAUCAUCAAUCUGCAUUGAUUACGUCCCUGCCCUUUGUACACACCGCCCGUCGCACCUACCGAUUGAAUGGCUUAGUGAGGCUCCCGGACCGACCGCCAGUGGCUUUACGGCUGCCGAUGGUUGGAAAGUUAGACAAACUUGGUCAUUUAGAGGAAGUAAAAGUCGUAACA